AGGCCUCUCUGGAUGGUGACUAUAACCUAUAGCCUUGCCCAAUAUGACUCAGGAUUUGGUACUGGCUGUGCCUUUCAUGGGAUGCUUACUUAUCCUGGUCGAUGGCCUAAAGCCCAACCGUCCAGCUUAUAUCCAGGGUCUCAAGCCACCCAGGCUGGAGUGCAGUGGCACAAUUAUGGCUCACUGUAGCCUCACCUUCCUGGGAUCAAGCAAUCUUCUUUCUUCAGCCUCCAGAGGAGCUGGGACCACAGAUCCUUUGGCAUUUGAGAGUUGCUUUGUGUAUACGGUCCUUUAACGGAGCAAAUGGCCAGCCAGGAAACCAAAGUAUGGACAAGGGGAAAGAAGCGUCUGUGGAGGAAGUUUUACAAGCGCCCUCCUCAUCCAUUUGGGUGGUGUUGCCCAUAUGCUACAUGUCUGUGGACCACUAUGUGUGUUUAAAGCUUUUUAGUAAAACGUUACUAAAAACUAUGACUCACUGUGGUGAAAAAGGUGGCAAAACAGUGACAACAGUGAGUUUGCUGCUGUUAUUAUCUAUGUGAGUGGUCACGAAAGCACAGGUAGCAGCUGAGGCAAGGGGAGGGAAGCUAGGAAAAGAAUCGCAGUGAGAAAGGGAUGAGAACUUCCAUGUCUGUGUUAAUGUCUGGUUUUAUGAUAAACUUGAAACUCAAGAGGCACAGUUGGAAAUUGUACCUUGCCACUUUGUGUGGCUGAGAGAGAGAAAGCUGUGCCAGCUGAAUGUGUGGACUGUCUUUGCCAGUGCAGGCUGGGAUGCAAAUACCUGUAAUUCUUGGGAAACAACCAGUGAGCCAGAUGAUGACAUAGAGUUUAACUCAGAGGAGGAAGAUCAUUAUCCUUCCCAUUUGAGAGUGAAACUGUUCAUGCAGUGGAAAGCAAAAUUCCAACACACAGAGGCCUGGGUAGGAUUACUGGAUAUAAUAAAAACUUUAAAACAGCUGCCAAGAGAAAGCCUUAUGUACAUGAAUGGUGCAGCUAUGGGACACCAGUAGGGAUGAUAUCUCCCUAAAAGGGAAUGAACCUGAAAAAUUGAGACAGAAGUACCCCGGAAGUGAAAUAACCCCCUUAUGGGAUAAGUUAUAGGGAAAGCCAUUUCAGAUUUCCUAGAAACUCAAAAGGAAAGAGAUUAGGUAUGACUGGUUGCUAAAGGAAAAUGGAAAAAGGGAGAAACAAAGUCUGCUGGACUGAAAAAAGGAGUUUAAAAAAGACACAAUUAAGGUUACUAGGAAACAAAUGUGGUAUGAUCUGAUUUCAGCUGGGAUUGACAAAGAGAA
rnacentral:lncRNA from 1 species